GUAUAAUGGGUCAGCGACUUAUAUUCUGUAGCAAGGUUAACCGAAUAGGGGAGCCGGAGGGAAACCGAGUCUUAACCGGGCGUUAAGUUGCAGGGUAUAGACCCGAAACCCGGUGAUCUAGCCAUGGGCAGGUUGAAGGUUGGGUAACACUAACUGGAGGACCGAACCGACUAAUGUUGAAAAAUUAGCGGAUGACCUGUGGCUGGGGGUGAAAGGCCAAUCAAACCGGGAGAUAGCUGGUUCUCCCCGAAAGCUAUUUAGGUAGCGCCUCGUGAAUUCAUCUCCGGGGGUAGAGCACUGUUUCGGCUAGGGGGCCAUCCCGGCUUACCAACCCGAUGCAAACUGCGAAUACCGGAGAAUGUUAUCACGGGAGACACACGGCGGGUGCUAACGUCCGUCGUGAAGAGGGAAACAACCCAGACCGCCAGCUAAGGUCCCAAAGUCAUGGUUAAGUGGGAAACGAUGUGGGAAGGCCCAGACAGCCAGGAUGUUGGCUUAGAAGCAGCCAUCAUUUAAAGAAAGCGUAAUAGCUCACUGGUCGAGUCGGCCUGCGCGGAAGAUGUAACGGGGCUAAACCAUGCACCGAAGCUGCGGCAGCGACACUGUGUGUUGUUGGGUAGGGGAGCGUUCUGUAAGCCUGCGAAGGUGGCCUGUGAGGGUUGCUGGAGGUAUCAGAAGUGCGAAUGCUGACAUAAGUAACGAUAAAGCGGGUGAAAAGCCCGCUCGCCGGAAGACCAAGGGUUCCUGUCCAACGUUAAUCGGGGCAGGGUGAGUCGACCCCUAAGGCGAGGCCGAAAGGCGUAGUCGAUGGGAAACGGGUUAAUAUUCCCGUACUUGGUGUUACUGCGAAGGGGGGACGGAGAAGGCUAUGUUGGCCGGGCGACGGUUGUCCCGGUUUAAGCGUGUAGGUGUGUGUUCCAGGUAAAUCCGGUUCACUUUAACACUGAGGCGUGACGACGAGGCACUACGGUGCUGAAGCAACAAAUGCCCUGCUUCCAGGAAAAGCCUCUAAGCAUCAGGUAACAUCAAAUCGUACCCCAAACCGACACAGGUGGUCAGGUAGAGAAUACCAAGGCGCUUGAGAGAACUCGGGUGAAGGAACUAGGCAAAAUGGUGCCGUAACUUCGGGAGAAGGCACGCUGACACGUAGGUGAAGUGAUUUACUCAUGGAGCUGAAGUCAGUCGAAGAUACCAGCUGGCUGCAACUGUUUAUUAAAAACACAGCACUGUGCAAACACGAAAGUGGACGUAUACGGUGUGACGCCUGCCCGGUGCCGGAAGGUUAAUUGAUGGGGUCAGCGCAAGCGAAGCUCCUGAUCGAAGCCCCGGUAAACGGCGGCCGUAACUAUAACGGUCCUAAGGUAGCGAAAUUCCUUGUCGGGUAAGUUCCGACCUGCACGAAUGGCGUAAUGAUGGCCAGGCUGUCUCCACCCGAGACUCAGUGAAAUUGAACUCGCUGUGAAGAUGCAGUGUACCCGCGGCAAGACGGAAAGACCCCGUGAACCUUUACUAUAGCUUGACACUGAACAUUGAGCCUUGAUGUGUAGGAUAGGUGGGAGGCUUUGAAGUGUGGACGCCAGUCUGCAUGGAGCCGACCUUGAAAUACCACCCUUUAAUGUUUGAUGUUCUAACGUGGACCCGUUACCCGGGUUGCGGACAGUGUCUGGUGGGUAGUUUGACUGGGGCGGUCUCCUCCUAAAGAGUAACGGAGGAGCACGAAGGUUGGCUAAUCCUGGUCGGACAUCAGGAGGUUAGUGCAAUGGCAUAAGCCAGCUUGACUGCGAGCGUGACGGCGCGAGCAGGUGCGAAAGCAGGUCAUAGUGAUCCGGUGGUUCUGAAUGGAAGGGCCAUCGCUCAACGGAUAAAAGGUACUCCGGGGAUAACAGGCUGAUACCGCCCAAGAGUUCAUAUCGACGGCGGUGUUUGGCACCUCGAUGUCGGCUCAUCACAUCCUGGGGCUGAAGUAGGUCCCAAGGGUAUGGCUGUUCGCCAUUUAAAGUGGUACGCGAGCUGGGUUUAGAACGUCGUGAGACAGUUCGGUCCCUAUCUGCCGUGGGCGCUGGAGAACUGAGGGGGGCUGCUCCUAGUACGAGAGGACCGGAGUGGACGCAUCACUGGUGUUCGGGUUGUCAUGCCAAUGGCACUGCCCGGUAGCUAAAUGCGGAAGAGAUAAGUGCUGAAAGCAUCUAAGCACGAAACUUGCCCCGAGAUGAGUUCUCCCUGAGACUUAAAGUCUCCUGAAGGAACGUUGAAGACGACGACGUUGAUAGGCCGGGUGUGUAAGCGCAGCGAUGCGUUGAGCUAACCGGUACUAAUGAACCGUGAGGCUUAAC
rnacentral:rRNA from 1 species